CCUGCCACAAGGUGGAUGUUUUUACUAUCCAUUGCUAUCAUGAUGUGCUGUGUCUAAAAGCAGUAGGCCCAACCAGUCAUGGACUGAAACUUCUAAAAUGGCCAACUUUUCCUUUUUAUAAGUUGAUUUCAUGUAAGAUAUUUUAUUAUACUAACAGAAAACUGACAAACUUAACAUUUAUAUAUUAUAAACUAUAGUUCUUUUCCUAACUUUCCUGCAAGUGUGAUCUUAGAAAGUAAAUACUGACCUUAUUAUCAUACUAUGGUUAAGAAAACAACCUAAAAACUAAAUGAUUGUUAAUUUACUGUAGAUCAUCAGGACACUUUUUUUUUUUUUUUCAAGCAGACUGAUUAAGAUACUUUUGUCUUUCUGCUUUGUACUAUAGCCAGGCAUGAGUUUUCAAAUAGUUUGAAAGUUUUCAAAUCAUUUCAAAGAGUUUGCAAGUAGCCUGAAGAUGUGAUGAUUGGUAGUAUAUUAGUAGUCAGCAUAGUCUAUAUUAUGAAGUCAUGAGAAACAACCUCAAAACCUCAGUGGUUUGAAACCAAAAGUUUAUUUCUUGCUCUCCUUGCAUGACCAUCAUGGUCAGCAGGAUCUCUGCUCAUAAUAGUCUCAGAGAGAUCUUAUGGAGCAACCAUCAUUUCAAUCAUUUUUGAUUACCAUGCUGGAAGGCAGGAAGAGAGGGAGGAAAAAGAGAGGAAAGAAAGGGAGGAAAGGCAGGCAGGCAGGAAGGAAGGAAGGAGAAGAGAAGGAAAAAAAAAUAGUCAGCCCUGGAAGAUCUCUAAUCUGCAAUCAAUGCUGGGAAGUUAAUUUUCUGGAUCCCUAAAAUAAAAGGACCACUGUUGGUGAGUAGUACAUUAACAAUAGUUAUAAAUUGUAAUAAUACUUUCAGUAAUAAUUCUGUUGCUGACUGCUUACAUAUCUGUU
rnacentral:lncRNA from 1 species